ACGAGGGAAUUUUUUAUCAAGAGCAAGAGAACUUUGGGGAUUUCGAAAUAGAAAUUGGUCUUGAGGACCUCCAGAACGAGGCACAUCUUCAUGGUGAAACAGUGGUGGACCUAAAGGACAUACAAAUGCUCACCAAGUUACAUGAGGGCAAUGGGUUCAAUGAUGAGCCUCCACCGGACAUUCCCACCCAACCUCAUUACUCACAUGAUACUGAUAGUGAUAGUGAAAAUGAGAACCCAAUGCCUCGUUAUGAGAACCCAAUGCCUCAUUAUGAUAGUGAUGAUUCGAGGUGAUUGAUCAAUAUGAGCGGAAGCAAGCAAUCCAUGAACUCCAUUUUGAAGAGUAUGACCCAACAGAAGUUCACCGGGACCACUAGAAGUGGAAGACCAACGCGUGUCAGCUCGCGUUACGCGGACGAUGACACGGGUGGAGUUGGAGGUGGAGGUGUAGGUGGAGGUGGAGGACGUGGUGGAGGUGGAGGACGAGGUGGAGGUGGAGGACGAGCUGGAGGACGAGGCGGAGGCGGAGGUGGAGGACGAGGACGAGGUGGAGGUGGAGGACGAGGACGAGGUGGAGGUGGACCUUUCCUUGGUGACAUACCCUCUGCUUCUGGCGACGUGGCUUCCCAGUCCGCUCACACACAGUCUACUGAGGGGGAGAUGGAGGUGGAGAUGGAGGUGGAGGGGCAGGACGAGGAGGCGGAGAGGGAGAUGGCGCCGAAGAAGUUGCGCAUUCGUGGUGAAGCGCAAGUCCCUGAUGAGAGGAGGGAGCCUACUAGCCAGGAUGCGAAAGCCCUCAUCAUCCCGAACGAAAAAGACAAUUGGACAUAUGACAAGGGGGUUCGCCAGCCGUCGAGCAUGAUUGGAGCUCUUAUUAGGCAGA